GAUGAACGCUGGCGGCGUGCCUAAUACAUGCAAGUCGAGCGAACAGGCGAGGAGCUUGCUCCUCUGACGUUAGCGGCGGACGGGUGAGUAACACGUGGAUAACCUACCUAUAAGACUGGGAUAACUUCGGGAAACCGGAGCUAAUACCGGAUAACAUGUUGAACCGCAUGGUUCAACAGUGAAAGACGGUCUUGCUGUCACUUAUAGAUGGAUCCGCGCCGCAUUAGCUAGUUGGUAAGGUAACGGCUUACCAAGGCAACGAUGCGUAGCCGACCUGAGAGGGUGAUCGGCCGCACUGGAACUGAGACACGGUCCAGACUCCUACGGGAGGCAGCAGUAGGGAAUCUUCCGCAAUGGGCGAAAGCCUGACGGAGCAACGCCGCGUGAGUGAUGAAGGUCUUCGGAUCGUAAAACUCUGUUAUUAGGGAAGAACAAAUGUGUAAGUAACUAUGCACGUCUUGACGGUACCUAAUCAGAAAGCCACGGCUAACUACGUG
rnacentral:rRNA from 1 species